AAGGUGCACCAUAUAUCGAGACUGUUACGGCUGAUAUCGAGCAGGACAGUGGCUAUGGAAGUCCAUACUCGCUAAGGAGUAUGUGGCAACUCACCUGCCGAAUCAACUAGCCCUGAAAAUAGAUGGCGCUUAACCGAGAGACCUAU
rnacentral:ncRNA from 1 species